AUGGAAUACACUGCGUUCAAUCGGGAUGCAUUUUACCAUGCUGCAUGGAAUCCACUGCAUUCAGUGAUGCUGCAUGGAAUGCACUACCUUCAAUCGGGAUGCUUUGGGCCAUGCUGCAUAAAAUCCACUGCAUUUAAUCGGGAUGCAUUUUACCAUGCUGCAUGGAAUGUACUGAAUUCAAUCACGCUGCAUGGAAUUCACUGCAUUCAAUUGGGAUCCAUUGCACAACGAUGCAUGGAAUCCACUGCGUUCAAUCAAAAUCCAUUGCACCACACUGCAUGGAAUCCACUGCAUUCUCUCGAGAUCCAUUGGGCCACGCUGCAUGGAAUUCACUGCAAUCAAUCAGAAUCCACUCCACCACACUGCACGGAGUCCACUGCAUUCAAUCGAGAUUCCUUGGGCCACGCUGCAUGGAAUCCACUGCAUUCAAUCGUGUUCGAUUUAACCCCGCUGCAUGGAAUCCACUGCAUCAAUCGGGAUGCAUUUUAUCAUGCUGCCUGGAAUCCACUGCAUACAAUGACACUGCAUGGAUUCCACUGCAUCAAUCAGGAUGCAUUUUACCAUGCUGCAUGGAAUCCACUGCAUUCAGUGACGCUGCAUGGAAUCCACUGCACUCAAUCGGGAUCCAUUGUGCCACAUUGCAGGGAAACCACUGCAUUCAAUCGACAUCCAUUGCGCCAUGCUGCAUGGAAUCCACUGCAUUCAAUUGGGAUUCAUUGGGCCUCACUGCAUGGAAUACACUGCGUUCAAUCGAGAUCCAUUGGGCCACGCUGCAUGGAAUCCACUGCAUUCAAUCGGGAUCCAUUUAGCCAUGCUUCAUGGAAUACACUGCGUUCAAUCGGGAUGCAUUUUACCAUGCUGCAUGGAAUCCACUGCAUUCAGUGAUGCUGCAUGGAAUGCACUACCUUCAAUCGGGAUGCUUUGGGCCAUGCUGCAUAAAAUCCACUGCAUUUAAUCGGGAUGCAUUGGGCCACGCUCCAUGGAAUCAACUGCAUUCAAUCAAGCUGGAUGGAAUCCACUGCAUUUAAUCGGGAUGCAUUUUACCACGCUGCAUGGAAUAUACUGCAUUCAAUCACGCUGCAUGGAAUUCACUGCAUUCAAUUGGGAUCCAUUGCGCCACGAUGCAUGGAAUCCACUGCGUUCAAUUUAAAUCCAUUGCACCACUCUGCAUAGAAUCCACUGCAUUCAAUCAUGCUUCCUGGAAUCCACUGCAUUCAAUCAAAAUCCAUUGCACCACACUGCAUGGAAUCCACUGCAUUCUCUCGAGAUCCAUUGGGCCACGCUGCAUCGAAUCCACUGCAUUCAAUCGGGAUCCAUUUAACCCCGCUGCAUGGAAUACACUGCAUUCAAUCGGGAUGCAUUUUACAAUGCUGCAUCGAAUCCACUGCAUUCAGUGAUGCUGCAUGGAAUCCACUGCAUUGAAUCGGGAUGCUUUGGGAAUCGCUGCAUAAAAUCCACUGCAUUUAAUCGGGAUGCAUUGGGCCUCACUGCAUGGAAUCUACUGCAUUCAAUCAUGCUGCAUGGAAUCCACUGCAUUCAAUCAUGCUGCAUAAAAUCCCCUGCAUUUAAUAGGGUUCAAUUUCUCCAUGCUGCAUGGAAUCCACUGCAUUCAAUCAUGCUUCAUUGCAACCAGUGCAUUCAAUCGGGUACCAUAGGGCCACGCUUCAUGGAAUCCACUGCAUUCAAUCAGGCUUCAUUGCAACCACUGCAUUCAAUCGGGAACCAUUGGGCCAUGCUGCAUGGAAUCCACUGCAUUCAAACACGCUGCAUGGAAUCCACUGCAUUCAAUCGGGAUGCUUUGGGCCAUGCUGGAUUAUAUCCACUGCAUUCAAUCGGGAUUCAUUGGGCCUCGCUGCCUGGAAUCCACUGCAUUCAAUCAUGCUCUAUGGAAUCCACUGCAUUCAAUCAUGCUGCAUAAAAUCCACUGCAUUCAAUAGGGUUCCAUUUCUUCACGCUGCAUUGCAUACACUGCAUUGAAACACGCUGCAUGGAAUCCACUGCAUUCAAUUGAGAUCCAUUGGGCCACGCUGCAAGGAAUCCACUGCAUUCAAUUGGGAUCCAUUGUGCCACGAUGCAUGGAAUUCACUGCAUCAAUCAGAAUCCACUACACCACACUGCAGGGAAUCCACUGCAUUCAAUCAAGAUCCAUUGGGCCACGCUGCAUUGAAUCCACUGCAUUCAAUCGAGAACCAUUGGGCCACGCUGCAUGGAAUCCACUGCAUUCAAUCGGGAUCCAUUUAACCCCGCUGCAUGGAAUCCACUGCAUCAAUUGGGAUGCAUUUUAUCAUGCUGCCUGGAAUCCACUGCAUUCAUUGACCCUGCAUGGAAUCAACUGCAUCAAUCGGGAUGCAUUUUACCAUGCUGCAUGGAAUCCACUGCAUUCAAUGAUACUGCAUGGAAUCUACUGCAUUCACUGGGGAUCCAUUUAGCCAUGCUGCAUGUAGUCCACUGCGUUUAAUCGGGAUGCAUUUUACCAUGCUGCAUGGAAUCCACUGCAUUCAGUGAUGCUGCAUGGAAUGCACUACCUUCAAUCGGGAUGCUUUGGGCCAUGCUGCAUAAAAUCCACUGCAUUUAAUCGGGAUGCAUUGGGCCACGCUCCAUGGAAUCAACUGCAUUCAAUCAAGCUGGAUGGAAUCCACUGCAUUUAAUCGGGAUGCAUUUUACCACGCUGCAUGGAAUAUACUGCAUUCAAUCACGCUGCAUGGAAUUCACUGCAUUCAAUUGGGAUCCAUUGCGCCACGAUGCAUGGAAUCCACUGCGUUCAAUUAAAUCCAUUGCACCACACUGCAUGGAAUCCACUGCAUCUCUCGAGAUCCAUUG
rnacentral:lncRNA from 9 species